GGACCGUGCAGGGCCCUCUAUAUGAGGUCAAUCAAUCACUUAUAAAUUAAAACACAGUAAAGCGGCGGCCAUGUUUGUGCCUAAUUCGAAUUGAAACACCACUAACAUGACCAUAACGUUAUAUAUAUAUAGCGUGCAAAUGACCUAUCGUAAAGAAUUACAAGCACUAAAUUCAUUUUAUUAUUACUUAGAAUUCAACACACCAAACUGAUACAAAACAAUUAAUUAUUUAUAUCUUCUUUGAUGAAAAUAUUUUGCUGACAAGUCGUCUCGAAAUCUGUUGUCGCCAUCGGCAACUGUCGCCUUGACAACCCGUCCCUGCUUCCAUAUCCAAUUCCCUGGAAAAUAUAUUUCACUUUUCUUUCCCUUCUUAGCACCUCUCUUUGAUGUAUAGAAAAUGGGAAAUGUCGCCCCAAUUGGCAAUGUAUAAAAAAUCCUCCCAAUUUUCCACUUCUUUGUGCUACGCGGUGUUUGAAUGGGAUAAAAAUUAUGUCUCACUUGACUUAGUUUGCUCCUAUCGUUUUCUGAAGGCUUUGGGAUUUGUGAUCUGUCUCUGUAUGAUGAACUCUCACGCCAUAGUGGUAUUUCGUUAGCACUUUCAUCCAGCACAACAACUGUUAUAACAUCUCGAAUGCAAGUAAAAGCAAGAAAAAACGUCCAUAGUUUAUUUGCCGUAAACAACGUCAUUUCAAUUAGUCAAACACUUUCAGUGAACCAAGGCCAUGUUAACCCAUUGUCCUUUCGUUGACUAGCUUUUAGUAAACACAGCCUUUAAAGUAAAAUGUAUUCUUGCAUACAACAACAAGAACUUGCCUUCUCAUUCAACAACGCUUUAUUUAUUCUAGAGUAAAGCGACUUCAAUUGACUUAAUAUAUU